GGAGUCUGGUCCGUGUCUCAGUACCAGUGUGGGGGAUAAGCCUCUCAGCUCCCCUAGACAUCGUCGGCUUGGUGGGCCGUUGCCCCGCCAACUACCUAAUGCCACGCAUGCCCAUCCGUAACCACCAAGGCUUUCGCCGCCUGACCAUGCGGCCAAACGGCUAUAUGGGGUAUUAGUGGAAAUUUCUCUCCGUUAUCCCCCUGUUACGGGCAGGUUGCAUACGCGUUACGCACCCGUGCGCCGGUCGCCGGCAGUGUAUUGCUACACCCCGCUGCCCCUCGACUUGCAUGUGUUAAGCCUGCCGCUAGCGUUCAUC
rnacentral:rRNA from 1 species